UUGACUCACAAAUGAUAAUAGUUAUUAUUAGCGCAACUGGUCGCGAGGCCAGCCGGUAAGCUGAGAGCGCCAAUGCAGUCGGACUCUUCAGGUUAUCUCCUCAUCAGGCUAAUCACGGUUUCGACCCGGCACCUCGCCGGGUCUUUUUUUG
rnacentral:sRNA from 1 species